ensembl:lncRNA
UAUUAUUAUUAUUAUUAUUAAGAUACCAUUUGAACAGCCUAUUAUUUGGAAAAUAUACUAAAAAUUCAAGCAUGUUAAACGAUGGCAUGAAUUCUAUAUAUAAUAUUUGCCAUCAAUUUAAGAACAAAACAAAUAAACAAUUUACUUAGCAAAUGGUGAUAAUGUUUGUUAAUGAAAGAGAUUUAUUGAAAGAGAGUACGGGACAAAUUAAUAUUUAAACCUUAAACUAGCAGCGCGCGUCACUUUCUGAGUUAAGUGCGCGACGUGCGCGUGCCCGUCAUAUUGUAACGGUCAACUUCCACCGGACGCGACGGACGCGGAGGAAAAGGUCCUGACUGCCACCAGUUGAGUCAAUGAUUCGGAGAAGAGACAGUCUGGGCAGCAGCAACAAGACAACUAUUACAAGUAGAGAUGGGUUUUCAGAACUGGUACUACUUUGGUUCCUGACUUGUUCGACACAACCACAGAUCAUCCAAAUCAUCUCCAAGUGGAUGGCAGCAAGGAUCCAGGAUCAAGAGAUGAUUCUUCAUGAAGACUGUUCCAUAGGAAGCAGUGAAUCCUGGGUCAUCCUGACCAUUCUGCUGUCCUGGAUGUAAGGCCAUGCUGGAACUGCAUUUCUCAUGGUUGAAAGAUUUGUGCAGCGGUAUCCAGACAUAUAACGCCCCAUUCAUACGGGGCGUCGGCGUCAGUGCCUCUCGUUUACUUUGAAUGGAGUGACGUCAAGCGUUGGCGAAAUUAAUUGUGGGUCCGUUGCUCGUGGCAGAAGCUGAAAACUUCAAGCGCAAAUGCAGCCGUCCUCCAAUCAGAACCCCUUAUGCAAAUACCCUAGCGUAGACGCAAACCAAUCGAGUGCAUGUAAUACCAGAAAACUAAUGUGAUUGGCUGUCACUAUGAGAAGAGACAGUAUCUGCCAAUUCCGAUCUGAUAUCAGUGUCGUUUUUUUGCAUUUUUUUUAAAUCAAUGUAGAAUUUCUAUACUUCUGUGUAGGGAUGUCAGUUUUCGAUAAUUCCCAUGAUCGAUCAUCGUUUAAAUUAACGAUCAAUUAAUCGAUUAAUCGUUAACCUUAAUGCUGCAAAAUACGUCUAUUGCAGCAACACCCAGUCACCGGUAUGACAGGAUGUGCAAAAGUGUGUAUAUAUAUAUAUAUAUAUAUAUAUAUAUAUAUAUAUGUGUGUGUGU